UAGGGAAUCUUCCGCAAUGGACGCAAGUCUGACGGAGCAACGCCGCGUGAGUGAAGAAGGAUUUCGGUUCGUAAAACUCUGUUGUUAGAGAAGAACAGCGCAUAGAGUAACUGUUAUGCGUGUGACGGUAUCUAACCAGAAAGCCACGGCUAACUACGUGCCAGCAGCCGCGGUAAUACGUAGGUGGCAAGCGUUGUCCGGAUUUAUUGGGCGUAAAGCGAGCGCAGGCGGUCAAUUAAGUCUGAUGUGAAAGCCCCCGGCUCAACCGGGGAGGGUCAUUGGAAACUGGUUGACUUGAGUGCAGAAGAGGGUAGUGGAAUUCCAUGUGUAGCGAUGAAAUGCGUAGAUAUAUGGAGGAACACCAGUGGCGAAGGCGACUCUCUGGUCUGUAACUGACGCUGAGGCUCGAAAGCGUGGGUAGCAAACAGG
rnacentral:rRNA from 1 species